GGUUGUGGCUCAGCGGUAGAGCGCUCACCUAGCAUGCGCGAGGCCCUGGGUUCAAACCUCAACACCA
rnacentral:tRNA from 1 species